GCCCUCGGGCUGUGCUGUGGAGUCGAAGCGGCACCUGGCCGCCCGGCUCCGUGGACGCUGACUUGGGCGUCUGAAUCCUCUCCGGAGUCAGGCCGGGGUCAGCCUCGGGGCCCGCGUCCGCCUCCCUCUCCCUGUGCUGCCCAAGGGCAAGGGGAGGGCGGAGGUUUUUAUGAGGCUGGGAACCAGACAGGCUCUGGGGCUCAGAGGGGCCUGCCAGCGGCGGGAGUGGGGCCGCCUCGUUCCCAGCCCCUGAAACUUUGGGCUGGGGGCCACUCGGUGGGGGGUGAGGGGUGGGGGGUGCAGGGACGAGACAGGGAUGGAGCAGCAUUUUGAUGUCUUCUCUUCAUUCCAUGCCUGCUGCUCGAGCACCUGCUGUAUGCCAGGCUCCACUCCUGGAGACGGAGACCCAGCAAGGUCUCCAUCUGCAUUCUGGUGGAGGAGACAAGAUCAGCUGAGCAAGCCCAGGAACAGAGAAGAUCGUUUCAGUGGGAGAGAAGCCCCAUGACUGAAACACACAGGGGUGUUCGGGAGCUUCAUAGAUCAGAGAGGGCUUCUCUGAAGAGACUGGGCACUGUGGAAGCACAGCCUGAAUGAAACCUGCUGCUGAAGAGGCGGGAUGGCCUGGCAAGCCGUGAAGAACGUGGACUCUGAGCCGGAAGGCCUGGCUGAGCUCCUGGCCCAGCUCUUACCAACUGUGUGACUUUGGGCAAGUUGCCUUACCUCUCUGAGCUUUUUCUGUCAAAUGGAAUAAUUACAGUACCCACCUUGUAGGGCUGUUCUAGGAACACAGGAGUUAAUACAUGUGUUUAGCACAAGGUACACAGUACCGACUGAAUAAAUGUUCUCCGCGUUUUGUGCUCAAAA